rnacentral:lncRNA from 1 species
GCUUCCAUAGAUUCUCCACCCUUCUCUUCAUUGAGCCUUUUCCUUCCAUUAGCAUUGCGACUGCAGCCAAUCUUCCACCAUGAAGAUGCUCUACGUUCUCUUUGCUGUUGCUUUCUUGGUCUACCAGGUCCAGGCCAAUCCCAAACCACCAUCCGAGGAUGAAGCCAAGGAGCCUCUUGACCCUGAAAUGAAGUUGAAAGAGGAAGAUGUUCCCCGCCCAAGAAAUGCCAUGGUAUGCAAUGCUAUGGGGGGGAAUUGCCGCUCCAGAUGUAAUGACAAUGAGAAGUCUAUUGGAAAAUGCUUUGCAAGUAGGUAUUGCUGUGUGAGAUUCCAGUAGAGAGCCUGCUCAAGAGAGAUGCAAGGAAGACCAACAGUGUACGAUCGGAACAGAGGAAGAAUCCACCUCCCAAUCAAGAUGGAUUAAUGCUAAACCUCUCUUUUUUGAUUAAAACUGAGUUUGCUUCCAAUUCAGUGGCUAUCUAUCAUUUUAUUCUUCCUCGAAGCAUUUGAUCACUUAUAGUUAUCACUACCACUAAACUGCCAUUGUUGCUGUAACUACUACUACAAACUCCCCCCCGUGCCCCCAAUUAUCUGAAACAGUCACAAUAUUCUUGAUUUCUUGAUAUGAUUUAUUAUAGAGUGGUACAUCUGGAUGCAAAUGGGAUCCGUGCCGGAGCCCCGUUCGCAUCUAGAAGCAAACGUAACUAGCGACGGCACGUCUGUGCACACGAGCGUCGCUUUUAGCCGCUUCUGCGCGUGACGUCAUUUUGAGUAUCUGGCAUGUGCAAGCGGUGAAACC